rnacentral:rRNA from 1 species
GAUGAACGCUGGCGGCGUGCCUAAUACAUGCCAGUCGAGCGAACAGACGAGGAGCUUGCUCCUCUGACGUUAGCGGCGGACGGGUGAGUAACACGUGGAUAACCUACCUAUAAGACUGGGAUAACUUCGGGAAACCGGAGCUAAUACCGGAUAAUAUAUUGAACCGCAUGGUUCAAUAGUGAAAGACGGUUUUGCUGUCACUUAUAGAUGGAUCCGCGCCGCAUUAGCUAGUUGGUAAGGUAACGGCUUACCAAGGCGACGAUGCGUAGCCGACCUGAGAGGGUGAUCGGCCACACUGUAACUGAGACACGGUCCAGACUCCUACGGGAGGCAGCAGUAGGGAAUCUUCCGCAAUGGGCGAAAGCCUGACGGAGCAACGCCGCGUGAGUGAUGAAGGUCUUCGGAUCGUAAAACUCUGUUAUUAGGGAAGAACAAAUGUGUAAGUAACUAUGCACGUCUUGACGGUACCUAAUCAGAAAGCCACGGCUAACUACGUG